AGGUUACUUGCACCACAUUAAUUGCAUCUAUGAAUUAUUAUAUCUACUUGAACUAACCCUUACAAGAUGAACAAGUGGAUUAGGCAGAUUCCUACGAAGAAACUGUUUGAAGACUAAACUGAAUGCAAGCAAGAGCAAACCACAAGAAAGCAACAGAGCCGCUGCCACUUCUCCUACUAGACAAAUGCUUCGUCAGUCGCUUAAGAGGACAUUAUAGGCUGCUUGACAAUCAGAAAACCACAGGUCUAUCUGCAAACAAAACAAAUAUAGAAAAGCAAGGCCUGAGGUCAUGCUAUGCAAACCAACCCCUGGGAUCCAUCUGGUCCAACAACCUCAGCUCAUUGAGAAAAGGUAUAGCUGGCCUGCAAAGAUUUCUUAGGAAACUGAACUGACAUUAAAGAGCCCUUGGUUUUAUUUUUAACUCUCCGGCUGUUGGAGUUUGGACAUGUUGGGUUUUCUAUCCUGGAGCAAACCUUUUGCGAUCCACAAGGUGAAAUCCGUCACGGGGUGUAAGGGACAACAACAUGUCACAAAGCGUCAAAACUCAGGGAAACUCACUUGCUGUAGAAGCUGAUCUGCAGAAUCCAUCGGACUGUUCGCCAGACUAAAAGAGCUGUGAUGUUUUGAUCCCUAGAGCUUUUUUGGGUAACCUUUCAUGUACUGUCACCAGUUACUUCCAGGUUUAAUGUGCUUUCAUCAAUGGGUUUUUGAAGCCAGCCUCCACUCCACUCUCACUUUAUUUAUAUAGUGUUGGAGGGUGGAAUUGACAUCCUCUUUCAGACGGAAAGUAAAUUGAGUUCUCUCUUUUAGCUAUGGAUUAUUGAGCAGGUUGCAAUAGAAUUGUAAUGCCGCUGGUGGUGACCUUUGUGUAGGAAUUUUUGUGUAUUUUGCAAAGCAAAAAUAAAUCCAAUGAAGCUUAAUCAUGGCCAAAAUCCAAACUGAGAAAACCUUUGAAAGGUAGAUUAAAAAGCCAUAGCAGCAUUCAUUUCAUAGAAAUUAAUGAAUUAUAAAAGUGAGAGAUAUUAAAUUUGAAUAGCCCAGCUCUCCCUCCACCCCCAGAUGUGCAAAAAAGGCAAGUUCUUGGUAGAAUGCCAUUAUUUUCACAAGGUAAAAAGCCAGGGAUAAUGUAACAGAAUAUUUCCUGGUUAAAAAAAUAAUAAGUUCCAUAUUGACCCAUUCGAUCGUUAGCUUCCAUCUCAGUUCACACUUCAAAAUGUUCUCUCAAAUGGUUAUGCAUUGGACACAUGGGAAGAAAAUCUGAGGUGAUAGCCUAAGCUUUUAGAGUAAACCAAACCCAUUGAGUGGCAAGUUAAUGUACAAUAGCGUCCAUAAGGCAUGUUAACUGGC
rnacentral:lncRNA from 1 species